GAUAAUUAACUAGGUUCUAUCAGAGAGAGAGAGUUGCGACACUUCCAUUGGACUCCGUUGUAGCGCCUACUUCCGGGGUAUGGAGCCUCGAAUAGUUCCAAACAACCAUUUUACGGCUUAGGAGACCGUUCAUUUCCAUUGCUGGCCGCCGAGUAACUUCUGAGGGUGAUGUUCAGCACAUGAAGCCCUACAGAUGCCGCCGAUUCAACAAUGCUGAUUAUGAUGGGCGGUCAAUUUAACCUUUGCCUUAUUAGGUCCUCCACAGUCGCCCCAUCAGUCCCUGGCAGUCUGGUCCCUGGAGCAGCUGGCCCUGGCAAAAGUUAUUCCUUCACUGUUGACCCCUGACUGACUGGCCCUCGGCACACAAAUCCCUGGAUCACCCGCCACUGGAUCACCUGCCACUGGAUCACCUGCCCCUGAAUCACCUGCCCCUGGCAAUGUGGCCUCUUGAUUGCUCUCUCUGUCUCCUGUGAUGUCCUUUUCAACGCUCUUGAAAUCAACCUAAAUUUCUCCCUCAAUCUCUGUAACAAUUACAAGGUAAUGUUGCUGUUAUAUGUAUUUUGUCUUUGCAUUUGCAACUACUGUCAUCUCCAAUGUAAGAAAAUGAAUUAAAGCAAAACAUUUCUAUAAUGUGAAUUAAAUCAUCUGCCACAAUCAGAAACCAAUACAAUUUAUAAAUGGAUCUACCGGCAAUUGUUAAUUGGGUAGAAAUGUGUCGAUUAUCUACAUUGUGUGCAAAUCCUCAGAGAAUCCCUGCCUUCUGGUUGUUUUUUAAACUGAAUGUACAAAUAUGAAUUAUGUAAUCUCAUUAGGAGUGUAGUCUAUCCUUGAAUUACAUGAAAUGGGGAAUAUUGUUAGCUGCAUGGAUCAUACCGAAGUUUAAU